CAGCCUCCCGAGUAGCUGGGAUUACAAGCGUACACCACCACGCCCAGCUAAUUUUUAUAUUUUUAGUAAUGGAGUUUCACCACGUUGGCCAGGCUGCUCUCAAACUCCUGACCUCAAGUGAUCCUCCCACCUCGGCCUCCCAAAGUGCUGGGACUACAGGCAUGAGCCACUGUGCCCGGCCUCACAUUCAUAUUUCUUUGGGUUCAGUACAAGUUGCAUCCUGCGGUCACUGCCUUUAGAGGCCCCUGUCCUGUGUGAAUGCUGCUUAUGGGGACAUGUGCCCCCCAGGAUGGCGAAUCUCAGCCCUCUGAAGCAGGGGAAGUAAGACAAAGUAGUGAGAUUGCAUCCAGAGAGGAACGGGCGAGGGGAAUUCAGGAUUGAGGCGUGGUCAUGAGUCCUUCUCACACUGCUCCUGGCAGCGCUAUGAGAGGUGGUGGCACAGGACAUUUGUAGGAUGCCCUGGAGGAGAAGGGCGGGCAGGAACUGGGCCAGCAACGAUGACAAAGCACAGUCUCCAGCCACAGGAAAGCAAAGGGAAUGACAAAAGUACUAGCAGAACCCCCAGCCCAACCUAGACCACGGGGUGCUCCAGAGAAACAGCCAAUAGAUAGAAAUAUCAGCAUUCAAAGAGAUUUACUGAAGGCACUGGCUGAUGUGAUGGUGGGGUCUGGUGAGGCGAGUCCCAAACUGCAGAGCAAGCCUUCCUCAGAGGCAGCCGGGGCGACUCAGACAGGAGCUGGCGCUGCGGUCCACAGGCGGAGUUGCUUCUUUUCAAUGAAUUGAUCAGACCCACCCAGAUUAUUCGGGAGAUGGGCUUCACUUUGUUGCCCAGGCUGGUCUCCAACUCCUGGCCUCUGGCGAUCCUCCUGCCUCAGCCUCCCAAAGUGCUGGGAUGACAGGCAUGAGCCCUCACACCUGCCCUAACAUUUUGAUGGAUGAAGCCAAAUUGCCCUUCCAGAAGCUUCUGCUUGUGCCCAGGCACAUUGACAUGAGGGCCUCGAAUCCUGCCUGAGCUCCAUGAAGGCUGCAGUGACUUGAGUUGGCGUGAGUGGAAACCUCUGCCUCCACAGUGAAAUGUCACUGACUACUGGAAAUUAGGCGAAUGCAUUAGUGCACAGCAGAGGUGGCACGGGGAGCGGUCAAUGUGUGUCAGUCUCCCCUGGCGGACGGUGGCGAGCUGAGAUGAGGUUGUGUCUGCCUUUGGGAGGUGGGGGAGAGCUUGGCCGAUGAAGAGGGGUGGGGGUGGCGUGGUACGGGAGCUUGGUUGAGUAGAAGGAAUGGGUGAGGGGGAGGUGGACCAGGAGGAUUCCUGAUACAAUAUAAAGACCCAGCUACUGGAGCAGGGGCGCAUUUGCUGACCGUGCUAAUGUUGGUUCCUACCCAUGUUUGUUGACCCCAAAGUUUACUUGGUGACAAUAUCGAGGCCAGCUGAGGACUAAAGAGAAAGGUGGUUGGUGACGGGGCUCCCAGGAUGGGGCCUGGGGGAUGAUGGGGAACAGCUUCUAUCCUUCCCUUCUCCAAUGUGUUUGAUGUCCUUAUUCUAGGCUGGGCUGGCCUGAUAUUGGGCAUCAGUGGCAGCUCUUUGAGCACUUUGCGUUUGGGGCUGAGGCUCUCGAGAACAUUUUCUUGGGAACUUUUACUGUUCUUUCUCCUGCAUGGAGAGGCUUUCCCCAUCUGCUUCCAGGUGGCUUUGCAAUUGAAACUCAACAACGCUGAAGCCCUUCUUCCACACAACCAUGCUGCGGCCUCUCCGUUGCCUUUCCACAUCCCUCCAAUUAAGCCUUUGGCUUCAUUUAUGCCUCAACAUCCUCCUUCUAGUUCCACUGUGAAAUGUUAUGAGAUAAUCCAAGGGAAAUAUUUUCACUUCGAGAUCACCACAGGUUGCACCCUGAAUCUCUGGGUUUGGUGUGGCUGAGCAGAUGGGAUGAAGUGCCCUGGGCACACCUAGCCUGUUCACCCCUUGGCGAACAUGGUGAAACCCCCAUCUCUACUAAAAAUACAAAAAUUAGCUGGGCGUGGUGGCACGCGCCUGUAGUCCCAGCUACUCAGGAGGCUGAGGCAGGAGAAUCGCUUGAACCCGGGAGGCGGAGGUUGCAGUGAACCGAGAUGGUGUCACUGCACUCCAGCCUGGGCAACGAGAGCAAAACUGUCUCAAAAAAAACAAAAACAAAAACAGGGUCAUCGGGCCACCCUGGGCUGGUCGACACAUGAGGAUAGGCGGCUUCCUCACCAGCCUCUCAUUCCUGCCACAGAUCCCAGCACUCUCUAGGGUCACUCAGCACUGAGACCAGAGGUUGACCACUGUUUGUAACUGUGUUUAUGCUGUUGCUUUUCUUAUAGUUAAGAAGAAAGCAAACUAUUUCCACUACCUGUGUCUCUAUCAAAAGUGAAAAAUAAAAGCAGGUGGAGGGUCUCUGGGUUUCAGGGAAAGGGCUUUCCUUCAUACCGAGCAGCACACAGGAAGGCGUGGGCCAAAAUCACUGGUGUCCCGGCUGGGCGCGGUGGCUCACGCUUGUCAUCCCAGCACUUUGGGAGGCCGAGAUGGAUGAAUCACCUGAGGUCAGGAGUUUGAGACCAGCCUGGCCAACAUGGUGAAACCCCAUCUCUACUAAAAAUACAAAAAUUAGUCAGGCGUGGUGGCGGGCACCUGUAACACCAGCUACUCAGGAGGCUGAGGCAGAAGAAUCGCUUGAACCCGGGAGGUGGAGGUUGCAGUGAGCCGAGAUGGCGCCACUGCACUCCAGCCUGCACCACAAGCGUGAAACUCUGUCUCAAAAAAACAAAAACAAAAACAUGAAACAAAAUCACUGGCGUCCACAGCAGCUGGGAGAGGCAAGGACGGGACCUCUGCAGAGCCUGCAGAGUGAGCACGGCCUCUCUGGAUUGGACUUCUGGCCUCCACACCUGCGAGGGAACACACCUGGGUGGCUCAACGCCCUCAGUCUGUGGUGCUUUCUCAGAGCAGCCGCAGGAAACCAAUCCAGCGGGUCGCCUGAUCAUCAACAUGGACGAGAGGGAAGCAAGGACCUGUCGCCUCAGGACACUGUCAACACUUAACUGUGGUUUGAAUGUUUGUGUCCCUCCAAAAUUCACGUUGAAACUUAAUCCCCAGUGCAACAGUACUGAGGAGUGAGAAGGCCGUAAUGGCUCUGCCCUCCGGGGAGGGAUUAGAGCCUCAUAUAUUAUAUUAUUUUAUUUUGAGAUGAGAUUUGUAUUAUUUAUUUAUUUAUUUUUUUGAGACAGAGUCUCACUCUUGUCGCCCAGGCUGGAGUGCAGUGGCGUGAUCUUGGCUCACAGCAACCUCCACCUGCUGGGUUCAAGCAAUUCUCCUGCCUCAGCCUCUCAAGUAGCUGGGAUUACAGGUCCUGCCACCACGCCCGGCUAACUUUUUUGUACUUUUAGUAGAGACGGGGGUUUCACCAUGUUGUCCAGACUGGUCUCGAACUCUUGACCUCGAGUGAUCCACCCACCUUGGCCUCCCAAAGUGCUGGGAGGCGUGAGCCACCACGCGUGGCCUUGAGAUGGGAUUUUGCUGUGUUGCCCAAGCUGGUGUUCAAUGGCACAAUCUUGGCUCACUGCAACCUCCACCUCCUGGGUUCAAGUGAUCCUCCCUCCUCAGCCUCCCGAGUAGCUGGGACCACAGGUGUACACCACCACACCUGGUUAAUUUUUAAAUUUUUUGUAGAGACAGGUUUUAGCCAUGUUGCCCAGGCUGGUGUUGAGUUCCUGAGUUCAAGUGAUCUGUCUGCCUCAGCCUCCCAAAGUGCUGGGAUUACGGGCAUAAGCCCCCGUGCCUGGCAGGAUUAGAGCCUUAUUAUAAAAGGGCUUCCCUUCCUCCAUGUGAGGACACAGCAUUUUACCCCUCUGGAGGAUGUGGCAACGAGGUGCCAUCUGGGAAGCGGAGAUCCUUGACCUUGGACUUCCCAGCUUCAGAACUGUGAGAAAUAAAUCUCUAUUACUUAUAAAUCACGCAGUCUGCGGUGUUUUGUGACAGCAGCAGGAACAGAUGAAAACAACACAAAAUACGUAACGCUUUUGUCUUGUGUUCACAAUUGCCUUUGGGUCACUGUAGCAGGACGGGGCCCCACUCAGCCUACGGAAUAGCAGAGGGCCUUGCCCACUCUACAGUGCAAAUACCACGUGGAGCUCCUCAGCUGAACAAAGAGAAAACUCGGCACAGAGGGAGUGAAUGAUUUGCCCCAGGUCUCGUGUAUGAUCAAUGGCAAAGCUGGACGUGAAAACCAAUAACGAAAAAGAAAGAAAGCCAAAGCUGACAUUUUAUCCUGCUUCCAAUAUCAUUGAAGAAGUCACA
rnacentral:lncRNA from 1 species